AAAUUGAAGAGUUUGAUCAUGGCUCAGAUUGAACGCUGGCGGCAGGCCUAACACAUGCAAGUCGAACGGUAACAGGAAGCAGCUUGCUGCUUCGCUGACGAGUGGCGGACGGGUGAGUAAUGUCUGGGAAACUGCCUGAUGGAGGGGGAUAACUACUGGAAACGGUGGCUAAUACCGCAUAACGUCGCAAGACCAAAGAGGGGGGACCUUCGGGCCUCUUGCCAUCAGAUGUGCCCAGAUGGGAUUAGCUAGUUGGUGAGGUAACGGCUCACCAAGGCGACGAUCCCUAGCUGGUCUGAGAGGAUGACCAGCCACACUGGAACUGAGACACGGUCCAGACUCCUACGGGAGGCAGCAGUGGGGAAUAUUGCACAAUGGGCGCAAGCCUGAUGCAGCCAUGCCGCGUGUAUGAAGAAGGCCUUCGGGUUGUAAAGUACUUUCAGCGGGGAGGAAGGUGUUGUGGUUAAUAACC
rnacentral:rRNA from 3 species